rnacentral:rRNA from 1 species
GUAGCGGCGAGCGAACGGGGAGCAGCCCAGAGCCUGAAUCAGUGUGUGUGUUAGUGGAAGCGUCUGGAAAGGCGCGCGAUACAGGGUGACAGCCCCGUACACAAAAAUGCACAUACUGUGAGCUCGAUGAGUAGGGCGGGACACGUGGUAUCCUGUCUGAAUAUGGGGGGACCAUCCUCCAAGGCUAAAUACUCCUGACUGACCGAUAGUGAACCAGUACCGUGAGGGAAAGGCGAAAAGAACCCCGGCGAGGGGAGUGAAAAAGAACCUGAAACCGUGUACGUACAAGCAGUGGGAGCACAGAGCAAUCUGUGUGACUGCGUACCUUUUGUAUAAUGGGUCAGCGACUUAUAUUCUGUAGCAAGGUUAACCGAAUAGGGGAGCCGAAGGGAAACCGAGUCUUAACUGGGCGUUAAGUUGCAGGGUAUAGACCCGAAACCCGGUGAUCUAGCCAUGGGCAGGUUGAAGGUUGGGUAACACUAACUGGAGGACCGAACCGACUAAUGUUGAAAAAUUAGCGGAUGACUUGUGGCUGGGGGUGAAAGGCCAAUCAAACCGGGAGAUAGCUGGUUCUCCCCGAAAGCUAUUUAGGUAGCGCCUCGUGAAUUCAUCUCCGGGGGUAGAGCACUGUUUCGGCAAGGGGGUCAUCCCGACUUACCAACCCGAUGCAAACUGCGAAUACCGGAGAAUGUUAUCACGGGAGACACACGGCGGGUGCUAACGUCCGUCGUGAAGAGGGAAACAACCCAGACCGCCAGCUAAGGUCCCAAAGUCAUGGUUAAGUGGGAAACGAUGUGGGAAGGCCCAGACAGCCAGGAUGUUGGCUUAGAAGCAGCCAUCAUUUAAAGAAAGCGUAAUAGCUCACUGGUCGAGUCGGCCUGCGCGGAAGAUGUAACGGGGCUAAACCAUG